GGGAAAUUUGUCGUUUGUGAAGGAGGUACUGCAGUCGAGCGAGCUUGCCUAGAUGAUUUUAGUGCUUGCACUAAAUGAAACUAGAUACAAGCGACCGUCGGACGGGUGAGUAACACGUGGGUAACCUGCCCAAGAGACUGGGAUAACACCUGGAAACAGAUGCUAAUACCGGAUAACAACACUAGACGCAUGUCUAGAGUUUGAAAGAUGGUUCUGCUAUCACUCUUGGAUGGACCUGCGGUGCAUUAGCUAGUCGGUAAGGUAACGGCUUACCAAGGCAAUGAUGCAUAGCCGAGUUGAGAGACUGAUCGGCCACAUUGGGACUGAGACACGGCCCAAACUCCUACGGGAGGCAGCAGUAGGGAAUCUUCCACAAUGGACGAAAGUCUGAUGGAGCAACGCCGCGUGAGUGAAGAAGGGUUUCGGCUCGUAAAGCUCUGUUGGUAGUGAAGAAAGAUAGAGGUAGUAACUGGCCUUUAUUUGACGGUAAUUACUUAGAAAGUCACGGCUAACUACGUGCCAGCAGCCGCGGUAAUACGUAGGUGGCAAGCGUUGUCCGGAUUUAUUGGGCGUAAAGCGAGUGCAGGCGGUUCAAUAAGUCUGAUGUGAAAGCCUUCGGCUCAACCGGAGAAUUGCAUCAGAAACUGUUGAACUUGAGUGCAGAAGAGGAGAGUGGAACUCCAUGUGUAGCGGUGGAAUGCGUAGAUAUAUGGAAGAACACCAGUGGCGAAGGCGGCUCUCUGGUCUGCA
rnacentral:rRNA from 1 species